rnacentral:rRNA from 1 species
AUUGAACGCUGGCGGCAUGCCUUACACAUGCAAGUCGAACGGCAGCACGGGAGCAAUCCUGGUGGCGAGUGGCGAACGGGUGAGUAAUAUAUCGGAACGUGCCCAGUCGUGGGGGAUAACGCAGCGAAAGCUGUGCUAAUACCGCAUACGAUCUACGGAUGAAAGCGGGGGAUCGCAAGACCUCGCGCGAUUGGAGCGGCCGAUAUCAGAUUAGCUAGUUGGUGAGGUAAAGGCUCACCAAGGCGACGAUCUGUAGCUGGUCUGAGAGGACGACCAGCCACACUGGAACUGAGACACGGUCCAGACUCCUACGGGAGGCAGCAGUGGGGAAUUUUGGACAAUGGGCGAAAGCCUGAUCCAGCAAUGCCGCGUGCAGGAUGAAGGCCUUCGGGUUGUAAACUGCUUUUGUACGGAACGAAACGGUGAGCUCUAAUACAGUUUGCUAAUGACGGUACCGUAAGAAUAAGCACCGGCUAACUACGUGCCAGCCGCCGCUGUAA